GGAGGGCGUGACCAGACUUUGCUUCCGCUCUUCAUAAGCCAACGCCAUGCGCCUGCAAGACGACAUUGAACCUUGGAGAAGGACUGAAGCUGAAACGUAAAGGACUGAGUCGAGCUCCGCUCAGGAUAUCGAACAAUUGACUGGAGUGAGUGUGGACAUUAUCAGAUUUUGUUUGAGGCAUCGGAAGCAGAAAGGCAUCACAAUGAUCAUAAAAACAUUCAUCUUUUUACUUCUCCUUCAUGGAACUGACAGCCACCCAAAGGACAGACGUCAUCGACACGGCACAGGGAGAGCACUCCUCCAGAUAACUAAUGAUGAAAAUGAAACCCCCGGAAGCCCGUCCACAGGCAGCACUGCCACCCUUUCCAUUAGCAGCACGCAAAGCGGCGGCAGCACCAUCUCC